UACAGGUGUCUGGGUAAACAUAUUGAUCAGAAGAAGUAUUCUGAGGUGAGUGAUGCAGUCAGACUAACGGUAACAGGUAUAUCAUCUUAUCUCUCAAGUGCCUCCAUGCCCAUAACCACUUGACAUAGGGCCCAUCUCUCUACAUUAGUGUCACUGCUCUUCCUGAAACUACACUGACCGUAAAUCCAGACCCUGCAUACAAUGGAGAGACAGUAACUCUGACGUGUUCAGUGGGAUCUGACAGUGGCUGGAGCUUUACAGGUACAAAGAC